rnacentral:rRNA from 1 species
UACGGAGGAUGCAAGCGUUAUCCGGAAUGAUUGGGCGUAAAGCGUCCGCAGGUGGCUAUGUAAGUCUGCUGUUAAAGAGUGAGGCUCAACCUCAUAAGAGCAGUGGAAACUACAUGGCUAGAGUGCGUUCGGGGCAGAGGGAAGUUCCUGGUGGUCAGCGGUGAAAUGCGUAGAUAUCAGGAAGAACACCGGUGGCGAAAGCGCUCUGCUAGGCCGCAACUGACAGCUGAGGGACGAAAGCUAGGGGACGCGAAUGGG